GACUCAACACGGGAAAUCUCACCAGGCCCGGACACCGGAAGGAUUGACAGAUUAACAGCUCUUUCUUGAUUCGGUGGGUGGUGGUGCAUGGCCGUUCUUAGUUGGUGGAGCGAUUUGUCUGGUUAAUUCCGGUAACGAACGAGACUCUAGCCUGCUAAAUAGGCGUCGUCAUUUAUGUGUGCGUGGCAUUCGUCACGCAACUCACUGGCGGCGUAUUAAAAUUCUUCUUAGAGGGACCGGCGGCUUCGAGCGCACGAGAUUGAGCAAUAACAGGUCUGUGAUGCCCUUAGAUGUCUGGGCCGCACGCGCGCUACACUGAAGGAAUCAGCAUGUUCUCCCUGGCCUAGAGGCCGGGCAACCCGCUGAAACUCCUUCGUGCUGGGGAUUGGGGUUUGCAAUUAUCCCCCAUAAACGAGGAAUUCCUAGUAAACGCGAGUCAUAAGCUCGCAUUGAUUAAGUCCCUGCCCUUUGUACACACCGCCCGUCGCUACUACCGAUUGAAUGAUUUAGUGAGGUCUUCGGACCG
rnacentral:rRNA from 1 species